rnacentral:rRNA from 1 species
CAGUCGCCGCGGUAAUACGUAGGUGGCAAGCGUUGUCCGGAAUUAUUGGGCGUAAAGCGCACGCAGGUGGUUUAAUAAGUCUGAUGUGAAAGCCCACGGCUCAACCGUGGAGGGUCAUUGGAAACUGUUAAACUUGAGUGCAGGAGAGAGAAGUGGAAUUCCUAGUGUAGCGGUGAAAUGCGUAGGGAUUAGGAGGAACACCAGUGGCGAAGGCGGCUUUUUGGCCUGUAACUGACACUGAGGCGCGAAAGCGUGGGGAGCAAACAGGAUUAGAUACCCCAGUAGUCCCUGUCUCUUAUAC